UACGGAGGGUGCAAGCGUUGUCCGGAUUUAUUGGGUUUAAAGGGUGCGUAGGCGGCUUGUUAAGUCAGGGGUGAAAGACUGCAGCUCAACUGUAGCAGUGCCUUUGAUACUGAUGAGCUUGAGUAUAGCUGAGGCCGGCGGAAUUUAUGGUGUAGCGGUGAAAUGCAUAGAUACCAUAAAGAACACCGAUUGCGAAGGCAGCCGGCUAAACUACAACUGACGCUGAGGCACGAAAGCGUGGGGAUCGAACAGG
rnacentral:rRNA from 1 species